GCCGGGCACAGUGGUGCACCCCUAUAAUCCCAGUAUCCUGGGAGGCUGAGGCAGGAGGAUCACAAGUUCAAAGCCAGUCUCAGCAAAAGUGAGAUGCUAAGCAACUCAGUGAGACCCUGUCUCUA
rnacentral:sRNA from 1 species